ACGAACGCUGGCGGCGUGCUUCACCCAUGCAAGUCGCACGGAAAGGCCCUGCUUGCAGGGUACUCGAGUGGCGAACGGGUGAGUAACACGUGGGUGAUCUGCCCUGCACUUCGGGAUAAGCCUGGGAAACUGGGUCUAAUACCGGAUAGGAGCCAUUUUUAGUGUGAUGGUUGGAAAGUUUUUUCGGUGUAGGAUGAGCUCGCGGCCUAUCAGCUUGUUGGUGGGGUAAUGGCCUACCAAGGCGGCGACGGGUAGCCGGCCUGAGAGGGUGGACGGCCACAUUGGGACUGAGAUACGGCCCAGACUCCUACGGGAGGCAGCAGUGGGGAAUAUUGCACAAUGGGCGCAAGCCUGAUGCAGCGACGCCGCGUGGGGGAUGACGGCCUUCGGGUUGUAAACUCCUUUCGCUAGGGACGAAGCUUUUUGUGACGGUACCUAGAGAAGAAGCACCGGCUAACUACGUG
rnacentral:rRNA from 1 species